UAAAAUGCAGCAUUGUAAAACAAUUCAUGGACACAUAAAGUGGGAGCAUACCAGGGAUGAGUUUAUUAGAUUAUCUGGUCACAACCUUUGCUUGCAACAGUUUGGAAAGAAGCUGAUUUUAGAACUAUGUACGAAGAAUAUUCAACAAAGUUGGAGAUUUUACUCCUAUCCAUACUUUGAAAACACACAAAGUCAACAUUGAUCAUGACAAGUACACCUGAUGUAACUAUGUUUACAUCAUAACAGAUUAAGAAAGUUGCAUAGAACGUUGCAGCUGAGAAAAUCUUAAUGCAGGAACUAAAGCUAGUCUAGAUUGUUUUCGUAGAAAAAUGUACGUUGAUAAAACUUCGUGCCAAUGAAUUCUUUUAAUUGAAUUUUGAUGGAAGUAAUAGACGGCAAUAUAAACUUAUACUGAAAGAUGUAUUAUAAAAACCGUAUUGACUAUUUAGUUCCUACUAAAUUUUGAAACUAAUCAAGCUUCAUUUGCAUUUUUCGAAAACUGUCAUACGCUAUAUUAAGGUGUCAUAUUUGUGACCCCUAUAAACAAACGAUUGUCGUGCAUGAUGACGAAGCAGCUGUGAAGCAUUCUGCUUAAAAUCAGUGCUAAUUUUCACAUCAUCCAAUUUGCUAACUGCAUAUUGCAGAUUGUAGAUAAGUACUUUUGUAAAGCUUCUUGUUACACAAGAAUUUAGUUCAGUUAUGUUUGGAUGAAAUCCUUCGAUAAUGCUGCAACAUAGAUAUAAUUAAUUUGAAGUAAAAAAGACUUUUUUCUAUAUA